rnacentral:rRNA from 1 species
GGUCUUUUGUUUUAUAUAUAAGAUCAGGCCUGCCCAUUGAUUUUUGAAAAUUAAAAGGCUGCGGUAUUUUAACUGUACUAAGGUAGCAUAAUCAUUUGUCUUUUAAUUGAAGGCUAGCAUGAAUGGUUUGAUGAAAAAUUAACUUUCUUUUUUAAAUUAUUACGAACUUAAUUUUUUAGUUAAAAAGCUAAAAUUUUUUUAUAGGACGAGAAGACCCUAUAGAAGUUUACUUUUUCUAGUAAAGUUAAAUUUUAGUUUAUAUAUUUUUUUUAUAAAUUAAAAGUUUUGUUGGGGUGACAUUAAAAUUUAUUUAACUUUUAGUUAUUAUUUCAUUAAUUUAUGUUUUAUUGAUCCAAAUUAUUUUGAUUAUAAGAUUAACUUACCUUAGGGAUAACAGCGUAAUUUUUUUAGAGAGUCCAUAUCGAUAAAAAAGCUUGCGA